CCUACGGGUGGCAGCAGUGAGGAAUAUUGGUCAAUGGGCGCGAGCCUGAACCAGCCAAGUAGCGUGAAGGAUGACGGCCCUACGGGUUGUAAACUUCUUUUAUAAAGGAAUAAAGUGAGGCACGCGUGCCUUUUUGUAUGUACUUUAUGAAUAAGGAUCGGCUAACUCCGUGCCAGCAGCCGCGGUAAUACGGAGGGUCCGAGCGUUAUCCGGAUUUAUUGGGGUUAAAGGGAGCGUAGAUGGGUUGUUAAGUCAGUUGGGAAAGUUUGCGGCUUAACCGUAAAAUUGCAAUUGAUACUGGCGGUGUUGAGUACAGUUGAGGGAGGCGGAAUUCGUGGUGUAGCGGUGAAAUGCUUAGAUAUCAGGAAGAACUCCGAUGGCGAAGGCGGCCUCCUAAACUGCCACUGACAUUGAUGCGCGAAAGUGUGGGGAUCAAACAGGAGUAGAUACCCUGGUAGUC
rnacentral:rRNA from 1 species